rnacentral:rRNA from 1 species
UACGGGGGGGGGCAAGCGUUGUUCGGAAUUACUGGGCGUAAAGGGCUCGUAGGCGGCCAACUAAGUCAGACGUGAAAUCCCUCGGCUUAACCGGGGAACUGCGUCUGAUACUGGAUGGCUUGAGUUUGGGAGAGGGAUGCGGAAUUCCAGGUGUAGCGGUGAAAUGCGUAGAUAUCUGGAGGAAUACCGGUGGCGAAGGCGGCAUCCUGGACCGGCAUUGACGCUGAGGAGCGAAAGCCAGGGGAGCAAACGGG